CCAAAUUUACGAAUAAAGAUCACAGGUAUUGCAGGCUAUCAAGACUACUCAGCAGUUACACUUCUAAAUAUUCUUCAAGGAAGUUUUGGAGUCUGCUUAAAGACCCCAUUCAAUAUUUUUGGAAGUUUCCCCUUUCCAUUUUGUAUGUAAUUCCUUUAUAUAGUGGCGGUAUUUAGAAUUAAUUCAGGAUUCUAAUAAUAAACUGGGAAAAUUAGUUGUAGAAGAAUUUUAUUUGUAGGGUAUUUGGUCUCCGUUUGGGGGUAAAGUAUGGAGGUUGAUGAGUUUGGAGCAUUACAGGACUAAAAGAUGAGGAAGGUUGUUGUUAUGUAUAUGAAUUACAUAUACUAAGACAUUGUAAAGCAUUACUGGUAAAUGGAAUAUGUUUAAAAAUGUAUUGCUAUCCAUCUAUUGGUUCGAUGGCCCACUUGAUAAAAAC
rnacentral:lncRNA from 1 species